AUUAUAAAAUGGUAAUCUUUUAAAUGAUCUUUUCCAUAUUAUUAACUGUAAAUUGCCUCACCUAGAAAAAGUUAAACUGCUUAUUCUAUCUGAAUGUUGGAUGAUAUUACAGCUAACAGGUACAUUAUAGGACUGUAACACAUUAAGGAUAGUUUAAUCACAGUAAAGAUGCAGCAAUUGUAGUAAAUAUUAUUUACUUAAAGGAUUUUACAGACUGAAGCAUAAUAAAUAUAUAUAAAUCAGUAGUGUCAAUUAAUCAGAAGAAAAUAUAACCCAGUAGUGUCAGUAAUCUGAGUAGCCAGAUCAAAUAUGUUCUUUUUGAAAGAUUUCAUUUUAAUUUGGAAUCCACCACUUGAUGCUGAGACCAGUUUUCUCAACCAUUAAAAAUAACCCGAAGUGCUUAAAGAUAUGUAUACUAGAAUCAAAUAAAUACAAAAUAAAGAAAUUUCGGCUUUGAAAUCUGAAUCGAAAGCAGUCUAUAUAUUAUUAACUUAAUAAAUGAAUAUGGCAAUUGGGUCAAUAAGAGAUAGGUUUGAGUUGGAACAAAACAACAUUAGUUAUACAUAAAAUUGUCUGAUACUACACAGGAGCUAUACCAUCAGAAUACAUUAUACCAUACUGAAAAAGAAGUAUGUGAGACAGUUAAAGAAUAAAAGACUAGGCAAUUAAUAAGUAAUUUGUCCUAGCCCAUUAAAAAGUUGAAUGCAUACCAGGGCACUCAGUAAAACAUAUAGAUUAUUAUAAAUAAACUGAACCUGAACUUUUAUGGAUGGUAACGAUACGAGUUAACAUUUCUCUCUAUACUCUCUUUAUGACAGGAAAUCUUGUAAUUUCCUGGGAAGUAAGACAUUUUAUUCUGAGACUAAAUUUCAGCACAUAUUGUAUGUUAGACCUUCUCUCACAGAAAAUUACAUGUACAGUUUAUGAUGAUUUUCUUGAUUGAUGUUGUGAGUCUAUUCUGACCACUUAUAAAAUAGGAACCAAGAUUGUGGAGGAUCAGAGGAGUGAAUUCAGUGGGGUGUCAACAACUAAGAAAGAGCAUUGCUUAGUAUUUAUUAGUUUUGAACCAUUAAUUGAAAAAAAACUGACUGAUAAAGAACAAUUUAUAUGGUGAUUGGAACUUAUAUUUAAAGAUGAUGACAUCUGGUUAUGUUUAUAUUCAUAUAUAUUUAUUUGCAUUCCAUAAUGUUACAAUAGAUGUUGAAGAGGCUUAAAACUAAGUAGGUACCAUUAUAGGCCCUGUUAGGGCACAGCUAAAGAAGGCAAUACUUUAAGGCACCAUAAAUAAAGAACCAUGAGUUAAACUAGGCUCAGGGGUACUUUGUUGUCACUUUGUUUGUAUUAAAAUUGUUUCUACGGCACCACCUUCAAUUCUGCUUUCGUAUCCCUCAUCAGGGAUAUAGUUCCGAAGGAGCAGAAAGCUUUUCCACUCACGCUUUACAACUUGUAGAGUUAUAAUUUGAUUAAAUGGUAUUAACUAAAAAGAAAAGCUUAAAUUGAGAAGUGUAGUGAUUUUAAUGAAUUGUUAAUUAAUAAAACAAUACCAGACGAAGAAAAUUGAAUGAAUAAAUUAAAGAUUUGUACAAUUUUUACCUUGAUUAUCUGUUAUUAAUUCUUACGAGCCUCUGUAUUGAGAUGUGAAAUGAAUUGAAAGAUUCAUACUAAUUCAGUUUGGUUGUAUUGUUGAAUUAUUGAAAUAAGACUACAUAAAUAAACUUUUGAUAAGUUCAUAGGUUGGAAGGUAUGCACUAUGUACUGUUUUAGCUGGUUCUAUUGUUUGUUGCUGAAAACAAACGACUCGAGGAAGAAAAUGGAUAUUAUGUAUUUACCCGACUGCCAAAGAAGGAGGGUAAUGUUUUUAUAUAUUUUAACCACUACAAUAAGGGAUUAACAGAAACAAUUGUAAUGUUGUAACAAUUGUAACUUGUAGUGGUCUGAUUGAGUUUGAUUGUGUUGUUAAAUAAUAAUAAUAGAAGACAUGUAUUGAUUUAGUUCAACCAUAGGCAUUGCUCUAAUACAAAUAAGAGAUGGACAGAGAAAAAUGUAAUUACUUGUACAUUUCUCAUUUUAUUAUGUUGUUAAUUAUUAAAGACUAGCGACUGGAAUGCUAAUAAAGAAUUGAGUAUUGAAUAGACAAGAUAUAUUGUACUAGUUGUGAGAUAACGAAUAUAAAUAAGAGAUGGGCAGAGAAACUGACUAAAGAAUUUGUAUUAGCUACUUUGAUCAUAUUGAUGAUUAAUGGAUACUAAACGAGAUAAAAUAUGUAUACAUAUUAUAUUGUAGUCAGAGAUAGAAGAUGUAAUAAAUUGAGAGAUUUGUAUAUUGUCCAGUUUGAGGAUAUUGACAAUUACGAGUCAUUUAUGAUUCUGAAUUUAAUACACGGAAGGAAUUGUGUAAGGACGGUUUUGUGUAAGGAGCCGCUUGUGAUAAUAUUAUUAAUCAAUAUUUAUAGAGAUCUUCAUUGACACAUACCUACUUAAAAAGCUGUGUAUAUUUCUCAUAGCUCUCAAUUCUUCGAAACUAAGUCCUUAAAAAAAUAAAUUGUAUAUAUUGUGCCAAUAAAGUGUAAUUGUGAAGUAUAUAAAAUAAGACAGGAUAUUAAGCAAUUGUAUAUUGUAUUGAAGAUCAAUACAAGUGUAGUGACGCAGUUUAUGCAUCUAAGGCUGGAUAUUAAGAAAUUGUAUAUUGUAUUGUUAAUGUACAGUAGUCCAGGUACUGGAUAGAAAGAAGUUGUUUACUGUAAUGAGAAUUAUAUAAGCAGAAGCAAUGUGUAAAUACUGAUUUGCACUUUGAAUUAUGAUAGUGAUAAAUUUUAAUGUGUUAAUAAGGAACAUAAGUUCAGAGACUUUGUAUAAUAGAAGUUUUCUAUUGAAAUGAGAAAUGAUAUAAGUAUUUUGAUGCCAAUAUGGUGAUGUUGACUUGUACUGCUUGAAUUUGAAUGAGGUACACAAAUCCAGAGACUGGAUACAUAGGAUUCUUUAUUUAAUGAUUGAUGAUAUAAGUAUGUUGUCGUCGAUAUGUUCAUAUUGACUUGUAAUAUUGAAAUUUGAAUGUAUUGAUAAAGUAUGUGUAAGAUAAGAACCGAGACUGGAUAUAAGGAAUUGUUUAUUUGAUGGGGAACUAUAUAAAUGAAUUCAUGUCAAUAUGUUGAUUUUGACUUGUAUUGCUUGAAUUUGAAUGUAUUGGUAAGGUACCUACACAAGUCCGGAGACUGGAUAUAGAGAAUUGUUUAUUUAAUGGGGAAUGAUAAAAGUAUAUUGAUGUCAAAAUGUUGAUGUUGACUUGUAAUCGUUGAAUUUGAAUGUAUUUAUAAAGAAAUAAAUCCAGAGACUGGAUAUAAAACAUGUCGAUUAUUGAAAUAGGAAAUGACAUAAGUAUAUAGAUGCCAAUAUGUUGAUGUUGACUUGAAAUGGUUGAAUUUGAAUGUAUUUAUAAAGAAUAUAGAUCCAGAGACUGGAUAUAAAUAAAGUUGAUUAUUGAAAUAGGAUAUGAUAUAAGUAUAUAGAUGCCAAUAUGUUGAUGUUUACUUUUAAUGGUUGAAUUUGAAUGUAUUUAUAAAGAAAUAAAUCCAAAGACUGGAUAUAAAACAAGUCGAUUAUUGAAAUAGGAAAUUAUAUAAGUAUAUAGAUAUCAAUAUGUUGAUGUUGGCUUGAAAUGGUUGAAUUGGAAUGUAUUUAUAAAGAAUAUAAAUCCAGAGACUGGAUAUAAAACAAGUCGAUUAUUUAAAUAGGAAAAUAUAUAAGUAUAUAGAUGCCAAUAUGUUGAUGUUGACUUGUCAUGGUUAAAUUUGAAUGUAUUGAUAAGGUACAUAAGUCGAGAGACUUGAUAGAAGGAUCUUGAUGUCAAUUUGUUAACAUGACUAGAAGGCGUAGAUAGCUCCAAAUAGGAGUGAAUUCCUCGUUGCAGUCACAGUGAUAGUAAGAUUAACUUACUCUGUUAAACUUGAAUGUUUUGAUAAAGUAUACAAGUCCAAAUACUAGACGUGAAGUUGUUUACCGUAGUAAGAAUUUGUACAAGUAUAUGGUUGCCAAUUUGUUAAAAUGGCAAUGUACACAAGUCACAGUUUGGAUUCAAAAUGAAAUGAAAUGAAAAUAUUCGCAGAAAUUGUUUAUCGUAGUGAGAGUUUAUGCAAUUAUAUUGUUGACGAUUUGUUAGCAUGGCUGGAAGGCGUGGAUGGCUCCAGUUGGAGUGAAGGCCACGAUGCAGUCCUAGUUAAAGAUACGACUCUGGAAGGUUGGCACGAUCGUGAAGCCUUGUUGGUAGACAUCCUCUUGGCUUUGCGGUGAGGGGUCAAAUGCAGAUGUCGUGAGUUGAGAUUGGCUGGAAGGCGUGGAUGGCUCCAGUUGGAGUGAAGGCCACGAUGCAGUCCGUCCUAGUUGAAGAUACGACUCUGGAAGGUUGGCACGAUCGUGAAGCCUUGUUGGUGGACAUCCUCUUGGCUUUGCGGUGAGGGGUCAAAUGCAGAUGUCGUGAGUUUAGAUUGGCUGGAAGGCGUGGAUGGCUCCAGUAAGAGUGAAGGCCACGAUGCAGUCCGUCCUAGUUAAAGAUACGACUCUGGAAGGUUGGCACGAUCGUGAAGCCUUGUUGGUGGACAUCCUCUUGGCUUUGCGGUGAGGGGUCAAAUGCAGAUGUCGUGAGUUGAGAUUGGCUGGAAGGCGUGGAUGGCUCCAGUUGGAGUGAAGGCCACGAUGCAGUCCGUCCUAGUUAAAGAUACGACUCUGGAAGGUUGGCACGAUCGUGAAGCCUUGUUGGUGGACAUCCUCUUGGCUUUGCGGUGAGGGGUCAAAUGCAGAUGUCGUGAGUUGAGAUUGGCUGGAAGGCGUGGAUGGCUCCAGUUGGAGUGAAGGCCACGAUGCAGUCCGUCCUAGUUAAAGAUACGACUCUGGAAGGUUGGCACGAUCGUGAAGCCUUGUUGGUGGACAUCCUCUUGGCUUUGCGGUGAGGGGUCAAAUGCAGAUGUCGUGAGUUGAGAUUGGCUGGAAGGCGUGGAUGGCUCCAGUUGGAGUGAAGGCCACGAUGCAGUCCGUCCUAGUUAAAGAUACGACUCUGGAAGGUUGGCACGAUCGUGAAGCCUUGUUGGUGGACAUCCUCUUGGCUUUGCGGUGAGGGGUCAAAUGCAGAUGUCGUGAGUUGAGAUUGGCUGGAAAGCGUGGAUGGCUCCAGUUGGAGUGAAGGCCACGAUGCAGUCCGUCCUAGUUAAAGAUACGACUCUGGAAGGUUGGCACGAUCGUGAAGCCUUGUUGGUGGACAUCCUCUUGGCUUUGCGGUGAGGGGUCAAAUGCAGAUGUCGUGAGUUGAGAUUGGCUGGAAGGCGUGGAUGGCUCCAGUUGGAGUGAAGGCCACGAUGCAGUCCGUCCUAGUUAAAGACACGACUCUGGAAGGUUGGCACGAUCGUGAAGCCUUGUUGGUGGACAUCCUCUUGGCUUUGCGGUGAGGGGUCAAAUGCAGAUGUCGUGAGUUUAGAUUGGCUGGAAGGCGUGGAUGGCUCCAGUAAGAGUGAAGGCCUCGAGGCAGUCCUAGGAACGCAGCUCUGUAAAGGUGGCACAGUCAUGAAUUCUUGCUGGCGAAUAACCUCUUGACUUUGACCUUUAACUUUGUACCAAAAUAUAAACCAAUUUGUAAAUGUGAACACCAUGUAGCAUUUUAAUUGUCACUUUACUCUCAUUUGUCUUUGCGAUUCUACAUGAUCUUCGCAUGCUUUUACUGUAUGUAUCAAUACAUACAAAUUGUAAUACUAUAUUAUUUUUAAAAAGAGUAACCAUGGAGUUUCUUGCCCGUUCUUCUCCAUAGGAAGCUACUUUUGGAAUGGGCAACUAGAAUCAAACUUAGUUAUAAUUUUGACGUCCAUAAGUGCUUGUAAAGGCCUAAAUGAAAUAAAUGAUUUGACUUUGACUUUGAGAAGUUUGAGGACAAACUUAGUGGUCAGAAUGGCCGAAUGUUAGACUAAUAUUAUCCUGUGUUGUUCUGUAUGUUAUAUUCUCUUUUCAUACAUUAAGGAACUAUACUAUAUUUACCGAAGUAUACUAAAUCAUUUUAGUUUUAUACGGACAACACUACCUCUACUGUGAGGACAACACUAAAAAGAGAUUUUGACAGUGAGAGCGCGCGCUUCCCAUGCGCUUCCUUCGUGGACUGAUAAACUAUGUUUUCUUACGAUUGAUAUUAAAUUGUGUUUUAAAAGUGAAUACAAGAAGUUAUUGUGAUA